GAGGGAUCUAUGCUACCGUAGAAUCCACGUCUGCUACUGCUGUUUACUCGCUUUUUUAUGGGCGAUCGUUUUCAGGCUUCAAGUAGCACCAUUAUACCAACAUUUCACAUUCUACACAUUGUUUUAGGCGUAUUUGACCAAAGGUUUGACUGAAAAUUCACAUGCAAGCUUUUUUUCAAGGCUGUGGUAUUUGCCCGCAAACAAUACCUUUCAGCUAGCUAAAACAGAAUAUUAUGCUAUCAGCGAGCAACAUGGCUAAUGCCUUUCACACAGCUUUGUCUCAACUCCAAAGAGCCACAGAAGUAAAAGCUCAUAAUAAUAAUUGAAACAAUCUUUGAAAAAAUGACUUACCAAGCAUGGCAAACAACUCAAAUAGUGAUGGGUCGUUCGCGAACGAAAUGGCUCUUAGAGCCGAAUCUUUGACGUGAACGACGCGAGCCGGCUCCUUAUCGCGAGCCGUCACGUGGGGUUUUUUUUUUUUUCUUUCUCUCAGCCUCUCUCUCGCACUUUUUUUCCGCUUCACUCUGCACGCGAGCCUUGUGCUUUACACUGGGCAGAGGGGGGAGGGGCGGUAGUUACACUCAGUAGCACAGGAACAGAGCCAGAGAGAAAGAGAGGCAGGGACAACAACAUUAGAAAGGUAUAGUAAUCAUCCACAACUAUUUUCAGUUGCAGAUGAUAAAGGAUUGAGAAAGUUUAUUCAUGCAGGUCCAUAUGACAGAGAAUAUGCAUGUUCUUUUAGUUUUCAUAUUAUAAUUUAUAUUUAAUUGUGUUGUGGUUUGCAGUGUUUUGUGUUCUUUUCACUUUAAAUUUGUGAAAGGAAAAAGCUGAAAAUUUAAAUAGUUAAAACUUGAAAUGUGAAUAGUUGAUUUUUGUAUUAUAUGAUUUAUUUAUUACAUUUUAUGUGGAGUGAAUAAAUAAAAGUAUAUUUACGGUGGCCCCUAGAGACAAAGCACAUACAAACUUCAAAUCACGUACGAACUCUGAAGCAUGUACAAACUCCAAAACACGUAAAAACUCCAAAACACGUAAAAACACG
ensembl:lncRNA